AGUGAACGCUGGCGGCAGGCUUAACACAUGCAAGUCGAGCGGGGUGAUGGCGCUUGCACUAUCACUUAGCGGCGGACGGGUGAGUAAUGCUUAGGAAUCUGCCUAUUAGUGGGGGACAACAUCUCGAAAGGGAUGCUAAUACCGCAUACGUCCUACGGGAGAAAGCAGGGGAUCACUUGUGACCUUGCGCUAAUAGAUGAGCCUAAGUCGGAUUAGCUAGUUGGUGGGGUAAAGGCCUACCAAGGCGACGAUCUGUAGCGGGUCUGAGAGGAUGAUCCGCCAAACUGGGACUUAGACACGGCCCAGACUCCUACGGGAGGCAGCAGUGGGGAAUAUUGGACAAUGGGGGGAACCCUGAUCCAGCCAUGCCGCGUGUGUGAAGAAGGCCUUAUGGUUGUAAAGCACUUUAAGCGAGGAGGAGGCUCUUUUGGUUAAUACCCAAGAUGAGUGGACGUUACUCGCAGAAUAAGCACCGGCUAACUCUGUGCCAGCCGCCGCGGUAA
rnacentral:rRNA from 1 species